GUCGUCACGGGCGUCGGAGGAGUCGGGGGCGUCGGCGGGAUAAACGGCGGGAUAAAGGGAGGCGGGCACGGGAAGAACGGUCGCUGCUGUUGGGGCGGCAGCACGAUCUUGAUCUUGCACGUGCAUCGGUUCUUGCUCUUUUUGUUCUCGUGUCCCUUGCCCAUUUUCUUCUCUGUUUGUGUGAUUUCCGGUUCGGUUUGUCUUUCUUCUUCUUUUCUGUCCGGUCUAGAGUGUCGGUGCGCAGACAGAGAGCGGCGAAAGGGAGCGAGCGGGGGGGGG
rnacentral:lncRNA from 1 species